rnacentral:rRNA from 1 species
AGCUAGGCGUCGAAGGUGGGACAAAUGAUUGGGGUGAAGUCGUAACAAGGUAGCCGUAUCGGAAGGUGCGGCUGGAUCACCUCCUUUCUAAGGA